rnacentral:rRNA from 1 species
AACCUCCGCAAUGUGAGAAAUCGCGACGGGGGGAUCCCAAGUGCCAUUCUUAACGGGAUGGCUUUUCAUUAGUGUAAAGAGCUUUUGGAAUAAGGGCUGGGCAAGACCGGUGCCAGCCGCCGCGGUAACACCGGCAGCUCUAGUGGUAGCAGUUUUUAUUGGGCCUAAAGCGUCCGUAGCCGGUUUAAUAAGUCUCUGGUGAAAUCCUGUAGCUUAACUGUGGGAAUUGCUGGAGAUACUAUUAGACUUGAGACCGGGAGAGGUUAGAGGUACUCCCAGGGUAGAGGUGAAAUUCUGUAAUCCUGGGAGGACCGCCUGUUGCGAAGGCGUCUAACUGGAACGGUUCUGACGGUGAGGGACGAAAGUUAGGGGCGCGAACCGGAUUAGAUACCCGGGUAGUCCUAACCGUAAACGAUGCGGACUUGGUGUUGGGGUGGCUUUGAGCUGCUCCAGUGCCGAAGGGAAGCUGUUAAGUCCGCCGCCUGGGAAGUACGGUCGCAAGACUAAAACUUAAAGGAAGU